CCUACGGGUGGCAGCAGUGGGGAAUAUUGGACAAUGGGGGGAACCCUGAUCCAGCCAUGCCGCGUGUGUGAAGAAGGCCCUCGGGUUGUAAAGCACUUUCAGUGAGGAAGAACGCCUGGUGGUUAAUACCCAUCAGGAAAGACAUCACUCACAGAAGAAGCACCGGCUAACUCCGUGCCAGCAGCCGCGGUAAUACGGAGGGUGCGAGCGUUAAUCGGAAUUACUGGGCGUAAAGCGCGCGUAGGUGGCUUGAUAAGCCGGUUGUGAAAGCCCCGGGCUCAACCUGGGAACGGCAUCCGGAACUGUCAAGCUAGAGUGCAGGAGAGGAAGGUAGAAUUCCCGGUGUAGCGGUGAAAUGCGUAGAGAUCGGGAGGAAUACCAGUGGCGAAGGCGGCCUUCUGGACUGACACUGACACUGAGGUGCGAUAGCGUGGGUAGCAAACAGGAUUAGAUACCCUUGUAGUC
rnacentral:rRNA from 1 species